rnacentral:lncRNA from 13 species
UUAUAAUUAGCUAUCUGGGGAGGCAAGUGUGUGGUAGAACAGAGCUCAGCAAGAGAAAAGUCAAGGCAGGUACUUAGGAAACACUGCACAGAAGACGAGUAAUACAAAGCCCAAGAGUGGAUCAGCAGAUUGGCAGGAAGGGUGCAGGACCUAACCCAAUGACAAUGCUCGCAGGAGGAGCCCUUCAGAAGUCACCAGAGUUUCGCUCUUGUUGCCCAGCUGGAGUGCAGUGACAUGAUCUCAGCUCA